GGAAGAAAAAGUCUCUUGCCUCUUCGGCAGGUCCAGACUUUUCCCCGGACUCCCUCCCAGCCAGCUGUGGCUCACUAGCCCCCUUCAGGCUGUGUUCACGCCGCCAACCCCAGUCCUCUCCCGGCGCUCCGACCGAAGCCUGAGCCUCAGCUCCGAGCCCCGCCCGCCCCGGCAAGUGAGCAGACAAGCCUCUCGGGCUGGUCCAUCCCUGUGGCCAAGGUGUGGAAAACUCUGAUGGCCAGUCCUGGAUCAUGUGACAUAUAUAUGAGCUUGUGAGAUCUAAUUCCCCACCAGGCAUGGAACCUGCUGCCCCUGCAGUGGGAGCGCGGAGUCUUAACCACCACACUGCCAGGCAAGUCCCUGAACUGAAUGUUUUUGAUGGUCAAUGCAAGUAAGGUCCUCACGGCAAGGCCCUGGAGAAACAAACACAGAUGGAAUGGCUCCAGUGAAAAUGGGGCACGGGUUCGAGCCCUGGCCCGGGAAGAUCCCAUAUGCGGUGGAGCAACUAAGCCCGUGUGCCACAACUACUGAGCCUGCACUCUAGAGCCAUCGAGCCACAACUACUGAAGCCCGCGCCUCGAGCCCGUGCCCUGCAACAAGAGAAGCCACUGCAAAGAGAAGCCUGGGUACCGCAGCUAGAGAAAGCCCGCGUGCAGCAACAAAGAACCAA